rnacentral:rRNA from 1 species
UACAGAGGCCUCGAGCGUUAAUCGGAAUCACUGGGCUUAAAGGGUGCGUAGGCGGCGCUGCAAGUGCCUUGUGAAAUCCCAUCGCUUAACGAUGGAACUGCUCGGUAGACUGCAGUGCUUGAGGUUGGUAGGGGCUGCCGGAACUCUAGGUGGAGCGGUGAAAUGCGUAGAUAUCAGGAGGAACACCGGUGGCGAAGGCGGAUCUCUGGGCCUUACCUGACGCUGAGGCGCGAAAGCUAGGGGAGCAAACAGG